rnacentral:rRNA from 1 species
GACGAACGCUGGCGGCGUGCUUAACACAUGCAAGUCGAGCGGUGCGGCGAACGGGUGAGUAACGCGUGAGUAACUGCCCCCCUCACUGGGAUAACAUAUGGAUAUGGCUGCUCAUACCGGAUAGUGGGGGAUGACUCGCGUCCUAUCCGCUUGUUGGUGGGGUAGUGGCCUACCAAGGCGACGACGGGUAGCCGGCCUGAGAGGGCGACCGGCCACAUUGGGCUGAGAUACGGCCCAAACUCCUACGGGAGGCAGCGGUGGGAGAUAUAGAACAAUGUAGGAAACACUGAUGCAGCAAGGGGCGUGCGGGAGGACAGCGUGCGGGUUGUGAACCGCGUGCAGGGAAGACGCGGUAGUGGCAGAAGAAGCACCGGCUAACGACGUGACAGCAGCCGCGGUAAUAC